UCCCAGCGGUCCAAGUCGCAACCACGUUUAUUGGGUCUAAAACAUCCGUAGCUUGUCUUGUAAGUCUCUUGUGAAAUCGGGCAUCUUAAGUGUCCGGCGCGCAAGAGAUACUGCUUGACUCGAGACCGGGAGAUGCAAGGAGUACGUACAGGGUAGCGGUUAAAUGCGUUGAUCCUGUGUGGACUAACGACAGCGAAGGCACCUUGCAAGAACGGAUCUGACAGUGAGGGAUGAAGGCUAGGGGCGCAAAUUG
rnacentral:rRNA from 1 species